GAUGAACGCUGGCGGCAUGCCUAAUACAUGCAAGUCGAGCGGAGCGGGGACGCGUGAGUAAAACGUGGAUAACCCCCUAUAAGACUGGGAUAACUUCGGGGAACCGGAGCUAAACCGGAAACUUAUACAUGGAUCCGCGCUGCAUUAGCUAGUUGGUAAGGUAACGGCUUACCAAGGCAACGAUGCCUAGCCGACCUGAGAGGAUGAUCGGCCACACUGGGACUGAGACACGGUCCAGACUCCUACGGGAGGCAGCAGUGGGGAAUCUUCCGCAAUGGGCGAAAGCCUGACGGAGCAAUGCCGCGUGUGUGAAGAAGGUCUUCGGAUCGUAAAGCUCUGUCAGUAGGGAAGCGUUACCUACUCAGAAAGCCACGGCUAACUACGUGCCAGCAGCCGCGGUAAUUC
rnacentral:rRNA from 1 species